rnacentral:rRNA from 1 species
GCGGCCUAUCAGCUUGUUGGUGGGGUGAUGGCCUACCAAGGCGACGACGGGUAGCCGGCCUGAGAGGGUGACCGGCCACACUGGGACUGAGAUACGGCCCAGACUCCUACGGGAGGCAGCAGUGGGGAAUAUUGCACAAUGGGCGCAAGCCUGAUGCAGCGACGCCGCGUGAGGGAUGACGGCCUUCGGGUUGUAAACCUCUUCCAGCACCGACGAAGCGCAAGUGACGGUAGGUGCAGAAGAAGGACCGGCCAACUACGUGCCAGCAGCCGCGGUAAUACGUAGGGUCCGAGCGUUGUCCGGAAUUACUGGGCGUAAAGAGCUCGUAGGUGGUUUGUCGCGUUGUCCGUGAAAUCCCCCGGCUUAACUGUGGGCGUGCGGGCGAUACGGGCAGACUGGAGUACUGCAGGGGAGACUGGAAUUCCU